CCUACGGGUGGCAGCAGUGGGGAAUAUUGCACAAUGGGGGUAACCCUGAUGCAGCGACGCCGCGUGAGCGAAGAAGUAUUUCGGUAUGUAAAGCUCCAUCAGCAGGGAAGCAAAUGACGGUACCUGAGUAAGAAGCUCCGGCUAAAUACGUGCCAGCAGCCGCGGUAAUACGUAUGGAGCAAGCGUUAACCGGAUUUACUGGGUGUAAAGGGAGCGCAGGCGGCAUUGCAAGUCUGGUGUGAAAUACCGGGGGUCAACCCCGGAGCUGCAUUGGAAACUGUGAGGCUGGAGUGUCGGAGAGGCAGGCGGAAUGCCUAGUGUAGCGGUGAAAUGCGUAGAUAUUAGGAGGAACACCAGUGGCGAAGGCGGCCUGCUGGACGAUGACUGACGCUGAGGCUCGAAAGCGUGGGGAGCAAACAGGAUUAGAUACCCUUGUAGUC
rnacentral:rRNA from 1 species